rnacentral:tRNA from 1 species
GCGGGAGUGCUGGAACAGGCAGACAGGCACGUUUGAGGGGCGUGUGUCAGACUGACGUGUGGGUUCAAGUCCCAUCUCCCGCACCA